ACCCACAAACUGAACCAUGAGAUCAUGAUCUGAGCUGAAGUUGGUCACUUAACCCACUGAGCCACCCAGGCACUUCCUAGGACUAUCUCUUAAUGCUCGGAUAACCUCUUCCUGGUAUUUCUUCUAUUGUUGAUUUUUAACAUAGUUAUCUGUAAUUGUGUGAAUGGAGUUGAGUGGAGAGGUACUAAUGUUCGUUCUAAUUAAGGAUACAUAAUCGAUUCCUAUAGUUAUGAAGAGGAUGACAGGCAGUGCAACUGCCCAAUAUUUUUGAGGCCAGUAGGUUGAGCCUCAGGAGUUUAGCCAAGAGUCAGGAGAUAUAUGAAGCCUAAUUGGGAGCUUAAGAAAAGAACAAAGCCCAAACACGAAUAGCUCUUUCUGAAAAAGGCGACGGUGAAUUUUUUAUCAUAUUCCCUGAGGCUUUAGACAAUCUGUGGUGGCGCACUCGCCACUCAUGCCUCUCAGGCCUGCAUGAUUCCCCCCGCCCCGCGCCCGGGUCCUCUGCGCAAGCGCCAACCAGAGAGCCACGUGGGAGAGAGGGGACCUGAAGAAGAAAAGGCCAAGAGCGCAGGCGCGCCGCGAUCCUCCGGCUGGCGCAUGAGCUUUAGAACUGUGGUUACAGCCCCCUUUGUAAUCCUGUCUUAAGUUCCAUAGACUCCUCGUAGAAACUUUGGAACUAUUUUCUGGUGACUCAGCAUUUGGAACAACUAGGCCUGCCUAGCAGAAUACCAGAAGAUGCCAGUUCUAACUCAGCCACAAUUCACAGAGAGAGAGAGAGACAGAAC